UACGGAGGGUGCAAGCGUUAUCCGGAUUUACUGGGUUUAAAGGGUGCGUAGGUGGGUCUGUAAGUCAGUGGUGAAAAUCUUCCGGAGACCUUCAACUCGGAAACUGCCAUUGAUACUAUAGGGUCUUGAAUAUCCUGGAGGUGAGCGGAAAUAUGUCAUGUAGCGGUGAAAUGCUUAGAUAUGACAUAGGACACCGAUUGACGAAGGCAGCUCACUACGGGAAUUAUUGA
rnacentral:rRNA from 1 species